GAUGAAGAACUCAGCGAAAUGCGAUAAGUAAUGUGAAUUGCAGAAUUCAGUGAAUCAUCGAAUCUUUGAACGCACAUUGCGCCCCCUGGUAUUCCGGGGGGCAUGCCUGUCCGAGCGUCAUUACAACCCUCAAGCUCAGCUUGGUGUUGGGCCCCGCCGCCCCGGCGGGCCCUAAAGUCAGUGGCGGUGCCGUCCGGCUCCGAGCGUAGUAAUUCUUCUCGCUCUGGAGGUCCGGUCGUGUGCUCGCCAGCAACCCCCAAUUUUUUUCAGGUUGACCUCGGAUCAGGUAGGGAUACCCGCUGAACUUAAGCAUAUUAAUAAGCGGAGGA
rnacentral:misc_RNA from 1 species